UUCCAUCAGUUUUCAAUUGAGCAGACAUAAUUAACGAUGGCAAAGGCCAUUUUAUCAACAAAAAAAAAAAGUUGAAUAACCUGUUGGACGGUGAAAUGUUCCAGAUCAGUAUGACUCACGACCACUUUUUGUAGCGCCUAGAACCGUGGUAUUCUACGAGAUUUGGCCAAGACCCAAGAGAUGCGGAAGUGAACGGUUGCUGGUGCCACCGUACACGUUUAAAGUGGCCAUGUCGAUUGACUCCUGAAAUCCGUGACAAGCUCGAAGAAUCGUGACAUUCCAAGGUGGAGAAACCUCUUGACCACGUAAAGAUCCGGAACCAGAAGCAGCAUGGAAAUAACGGUGUGGCCAAAUUGCUUUACUUCGUUUGCUGAAGAUGGCCAGUUUCGGGGUUUUCAAGCCGUCAAGGAAGUGAGUUCAUCG